AUGUAGCACUCGUACAUUCGGUUCCCGUGCGCCAUCCGCACCCGCCCGACGAUCGCUCGCCAUGGGUUGUGAGGC
rnacentral:sRNA from 1 species